rnacentral:rRNA from 1 species
AGGGGCAUGUGCACGCUCUCUUCCGGACCUUUCGCCGUAUGGGCGCGGGGCGACCCGCGUCUUCAUAUACCUCUUCGUGUAGAAAGUCUUUGAAUGUUUUACCAUCAUCGAGUCGCGACUUCUAGGAGACGCGAUUCUUUGAGAAAAAAGUUAUUACAACUUUCAGCAACGGAUCUCUUGGCUCUCGCAUCGAUGAAGAACGCAGCGAAUCGCGAUAUGUAAUGUGAAUUGCAGAUCUACAGUGAAUCAUCGAAUCUUUGAACGCACCUUGCGCUCCUCGGUGUUCCGAGGAGCAUGCCUGUUUGAGUGUCAGUAAAUUCUCAACCCCUCUCGAUUUGCUUCGAGCGGGUGCUUGGAUGUUGGGGGCUGCCGGAGACACUGGAUUCGUCCAGGACUCGGGCUCCUCUUAAAUGAAUCGGCUCGCGGUCGACUUUCGACUUUGCAUGACAAGGCCUUUGGCGUGAUAAUGAUCGCCGUUCGCCGAAGUGCAAGACAGAAUGGUCCCGUGCCUCUAAUGCGUCGACGCCUCUAGGGGCGUCUUCCUCAUUGACGUUUGACCUCAAAUCAGGUAGGACUACCCGCUGAACUUAAGCAUAUCAAUAA